UCCCUGAUGGUCCAGUGGUUAGGACUCUGUGCUUCCACAGCAGGGGGCCUGGGUUUGAUCCCUGGUCAGGGAA